AGAGUUUGAUCAUGGCUCAGAUUGAACGCUGGCGGCAGGCUUAACACAUGCAAGUCGAGCGGGGAAAGGUAGCUUGCUACUGGACCUAGCGGCGGACGGGUGAGUAAUGCUUAGGAAUCUGCCUAUUAGUGGGGGACAACAUUCCGAAAGGAAUGCUAAUACCGCAUACGCCCUACGAGGGAAAGCAGGGGAUCUUCGGACCUUGCGCUAAUAGAUGAGCCUAAGUCGGAUUAGCUAGUUGGUGGGGUAAAGGCCUACCAAGGCGACGAUCUGUAGCGGGUCUGAGAGUAUGAUCCGCCACACUGGGACUGAGACACGGCCCAGACUCCUACGGGAGGCAGCAGUGGGGAAUAUUGGACAAUGGGCGGAAGCCUGAUCCAGCCAUGCCGCGUGUGUGAAGAAGGCCUUUUGGUUGUAAAGCACUUUAAGCGAGGAGGAGGCUCCUUUAGUUAAUACCUAAAGUGAGUGGACGUUACUCGCAGAAUAAGUACCGGCUAACUCUGUGCCAGCAGCCGCGGUAAUACAGAGGGUGCGAGCGUUAAUCGGAUUUACUGGGCGUAAAGCGUGCGUAGGCGGCUUUUUAAGUCGGAUGUGAAAUCCCUGAGCUUAACUUAGGAAUUGCAUUCGAUACUGGAAAGCUAGAGUAUGGGAGAGGAUGGUAGAAUUCCAGGUGUAGCGGUGAAAUGCGUAGAGAUCUGGAGGAAUACCGAUGGCGAAGGCAGCCAUCUGGCCUAAUACUGACGCUGAGGUACGAAAGCAUGGGGAGCAAACAGGAUUAGAUACCCUGGUAGUCC
rnacentral:rRNA from 1 species